rnacentral:snoRNA from 1 species
UUGCACUGUUCGUAACCUCUUGACAGCAUAUUUCUGUGAAUAGGUUCCAUUCCAGUGCUACGUGAAAUCCAAUAAUGGAAGGCUGACAAAUUCCAUGUCCCUUCUGUAUUUGGAGACAAAA